UUUCGCGAAAGAUGGAAUAAACUGUCUUUUUUUAAACCAAAUCAGGGGAAAAAACGAAUGAUUUAAGUCCAGAAGCCUCUCAGUACAAGGUGGCACUAGUUUGAAAGUGUUUGGAUGGAAAUAAUUCUGUCCGAAUGCCUGGAAAACUCUGAAAUUGAGACCACGUGUGACUAACUAUGGUGUGACAUAAUUCAAAUCAACUACGAGAGAAUACCCACCGCAAGAGAUCUACCGAAUGAAAUCCCACUGGGGCAUUGCCAACUUUGGAUUGGAGUUCAAGACUAAAGAGAUCUGCUACACAGACCCAUCUUGGAGAGGAACCCUGACACUGGAUUACAAAAAUGGGACCAAUUGAGUUCUGCCCCACAGUCUUUCAAGACACUGCAACAUUAGAAAUGAAACUGCAAGGGACAAGUCACAGGCCACUUCCCUGCUUGGACAACUGGUCUGAUCCUUCAAUGCCCAAGAUCAGGUAAGAUCAGACAAACUGUUUAUUUCCUUAAACAUCUAUGUAAUUUUGUAGAAAUUUUGGGUGUAAAGGCAAGGAAUAUUUUCAAUAUCUUGAGGAACCAGACAUCAUGUCUUCUGUUCACACUUGAAGCAGCUAAAAUCCUCAUAAAAUUGAUUCUUAAUACAGUUAAAACAAAACGUUUUUCCUUCUUCAAAUUUCCUCAGUCAUCACAACACUUUCUGGCUCUCGAUUUUGAAUAUUCUCAUUAUUUCUUCCCUGGAUAAAGUACUUAAAUUUUGAUGAAAUAUUUCAAGUCAAUCACUUGUGGAUGAAUGGAUAAGUGUCCAGCAGA